rnacentral:rRNA from 1 species
GACGAACGCUGGCGGCGUGCUUAACACAUGCAAGUCGAACGGAAAGGCCCCUUUGGGGGUACUCGAGUGGCGAACGGGUGAGUAACACGUGAGUAACCUGCCCUUGACUUCGGGAUAACUUCAGGAAACUGGGGCUAAUACCGGAUAGGAAUCCUUGCUGCAUGGUGGGGGUUGGAAAGCUUCGGCGGUUUUGGAUGGACUCGCGGCUUAUCAGCUUGUUGGUGGGGUAGUGGCUUACCAAGGCUUUGACGGGUAGCCGGCCUGAGAGGGCGACCGGCCACAUUGGGACUGAGAUACGGCCCAGACGCCGACGGGAGGCAGCAGUGGGGAAGAUUGCACAAUGGGCGGAAGCCUGAUGCAGCAACGCCGCGUGCGGGAUGACGGCCUUCGGGUUGUAAACCGCUUUCAGCAGGGGCGAAGCUUGUGGUGACGGUACCUGCAGAAGAAGCACCGGCUAACUACGUG